UAGGGGGAGUUUGGCGACAUAGCUGCUACUGAGGUAAUGGCUGCCCACAGUAGCAGCCAUGUCGCCCUCCUCCCCCUACA
rfam:Myotis lucifugus cont2.17457, whole genome shotgun sequence.